rnacentral:tRNA from 1 species
GUCCCAGUAGCGCAAUGGAUAGAGCGUUGGACUUCUAAUCCAAAGGUCGUGGGUUCCAAUCCCACCUGGGAUA